AUGGUGCCAUGGUGGUGCACAAUGUCUUUGGACUUCUCUGAGCUGAAGGUUCAUUCAAGAUUAACCAAUGAUUCAUAUUCGCAUAUUCAGAGGAGAGAUACCCAGGUCAAGCUUGCAUGGUCUCUGUUUGUUGUGGCUGCUGACAUGGUCGAUGCUGAACUGGAAUUAACCCUGUUUCAAUAUGCCACAUCCUUUGAGGUGGUCCCCUCCUUGCUUGUCGAGAUCGCCCCCAUCUUCCGUGUCGCCAACGAGGCCGAGGCCAGCGACCCACGAGUCGCCUACCUAUUACUAGUUGAUUCACUGAGAAGAUUCAGUAAUGAGUUGAAAAUGUACCAGAGGCUGACCAGAUACUCCAUUGACUUCUCUAGCUCCCACAUGUCGCCCCUGGGCUGGAGCGCGCUCGUGGGCGAUCGGCAUCCUCCUGGCGGCGCUGUUCCUCACAAAGUUGCUGCUGCUGUGCUGGAAGCACACCACAACUUUAGUUGA
rnacentral:rRNA from 1 species